UGGUUCCUAUCUGGUAAUUAUUAAGAAAUUAGCAUCUCAUGUGAGAUUCCCGAUCUUGAAGAUUUCAUGUGUUUGAAAUUCUAUUUUGAGGCUAUUAACUGACUAUGCAGAGGACUUUUGCUUGUUCAUCAACUUGGAGAUGAGUUCCAUGCACUAAAGGGCUGGACUCAACAGUGAGACAUAUUGAACAGAAAACAACUAUAUACUUCUAUGUUUCUGUAAAAACACA
rnacentral:lncRNA from 1 species